CCAUUAUUUUUAAAAUUUAUUAAUAAAGAAAUUAAAAACGUAUAUAGUAUAAUAAAUUGUUGCCUAAAAAAAACAAGAACUAACUAUCACUCCUUAAUCCUUAUUAUUCAUAAUCGCAGUACAUACUCUUCUUCCUUUAAAAAAAGUAACCAAAGGCUUCCAUGGCGAAUUUCAAAACCAAGUUCAGAACUUCAGAGUGAAUUUGUUGCCGUCGUUUUCAUCUUCCGCCGCUGUCAGCACAUCUCCUCCCAGGUUAGUUACGCAUUCUUUCCCUUCCUACCGUCCAUUCCAUCUUUCUCUUAAUACAAUUUGCCAAUUGCAAAUUUUAGGGUAAUCAUUGAGUUUUUUUGUCCAAUUUUUUAUUUUUAUUUUGGUUUCCAUUGCGAAUUGCGGAUCGAUUUUAAUCUAAUUAUUGUUUGAAAUGCGUAUUGAUUGAGUUGCGAAUUGAUUUUAAUCUAAUUAUUGAUUAAAUUGAUUGAAUUGCGAAAUGAUUGAGUUGGGAAUUGAUCUGACUUUAAUCUGGUUUCCAUUUGAAUUGCGUUGAUUGAAUUGAUUUUAAUUUGGCUGCCAAUUGCGAAAUUUAGGGUUAUCAUUGAAGUUAAUUAAUGUGAAACCAUUCAAAAUUGAUUGAUUAUUUAGUUUGUGUAUGCGAGAUAGCUACAAAAUAGCAACCUAGUAUUAAUUUGAAUCGUGAAAGUCCGUUAUUUUAAUUUCCAUAUUCAUUAUUUGUUAAGUAAAAAUAAAAAGUACAUUUACCCCACCAUGAUCUGCAUCAAAUUAUUAGCUAAUGCACAAUGAAGUGCUCAAUUGGAUAUAUAAUAGUAGAAUUGACUAAACAAAACUGAAAGCCUCGUUGAUGCACAAGUUUUAUAUUGAGAAAUGGACUACAACAAACAUGUCAUGUAUAUGUAAUGUAAUUAUGAUUCUUGUUUUCCCAUUUCCUAAUUAAGGUUAAAUGAAACAAAUUUGCAAUGGUUAGAUUUAUGACAGUUAAGCUGUGAAAGUAUUGUGAGCGGAGUUGAGGUUAUCUAUGUUUUGGUUGGGGUUUACAAAAUCAAUUCCGCUAACUGAAUAGUAGAUUUCCAUACUUAUUGCAGUCCUUGUGUGUGUUAUUGUUAGUAAUACAUUUGGUGAUGGAGUGGUACCAAAUUUUCGAAAAAUGGUUCAUUGAUCUAUAUUAUUUGCUGUAGAAAUGAUUCAUUGGUUUAUAAUAUAAAUGCCUCGUAAAGCUGGGUGAUCCACACUACAGGGACGGUUGCAAAUUCUUGCUAAUAGUGGCAUAAGACUCAUCUCAGCUUUGAGUUUACCUUUCAUUCUUGUCUGAUCUCUUUGUUUAAUAUUUUUUUUUAUUUGUGUGCAAGGGAAUUACUUAAUAAACUAAUUGGCUACAAGAGGGUUGGAAUUACAGCACUUUGUGAUACAAUCUCUCAUUCAACUGCUGUGUCGGCUCACAAAGUUUAAUUUGCAUACAUAUACUUGGAGACCUGAGUUUGAAGAAAGCCAAAAAAUGGCGGCAGAAAGUUUAAAAUAUGCCAAGGAAAUUGCUGAAAAUCAUGAGAUUGAAAAAGCAACACGGAAGAAGAAAAAAAUGGCUAUGCACAAAACAUCAAAGGAUAUUACAACCCUUGUCCAACAUUACUGUCUUACUAAGCCUCCUACGUCUACUCUCACCCGCUCUCGUGAUUCAACUAAGUGAUUUUUUAUUUCUUGGUGAUAAUUUUGUGAACAACUAAUCUUUAAUAUUUGGAGGCAUAUUUGUAUAUCGUUAUUAGUUCUUAUUGGAAGUAGCUUCUUUUAUAUGAGAGGUGAUUUUGAAAAAAAUUAGUCAUAUGGUUGAGAAUGUAGUUUUUUAAUACAUUGAUACAAAACUGAUGAUAAUUUUGAUUUAUUAAUAUGGUUUGGAUAUUUGAAUAAAUUUGACAUUUUUUUUUUGUGACA